UCAAGCUACAAAGAGCGUAAGGGGAAUGCCUUGGCACCAGGAGCCGACGAAGGACGCAGCGAUCUGCGAAAAGCCACGGGGAGCCGAAAGCAGGCUUUGAUCCGUGGAUAUCCGAAUGGGGAAACCCGCAUGGUUAAUAGCCAUGCGACGUAUACUGAAUAAAUAGGUAUGCGUCGGGAACCGUCUGAACUGAAACAUCUAAGUAGGACGAGGAAAAGAAAUCAACCGAGAUUCCGUAAGUAGUGGCGAGCGAACACGGAAGAGGCCAAACCGAAGGUAGCAAUAUCUUCGGGGUACGGACAGUAAACGGCAUUGCGGUAUCUUAGCAGAAGUGCAUGGGACGGCACACCAUAGAGAGUGAUAGUCUCGUAAGCGAAAAGAGAAGGCAGCCAACUGUAUCCAGAGUACCGCCGGACACGUGAAACCCGGUGGGAACAUGGGGGGACCAUCCUCCAAGCCUAAAUACUCCCUGGUGACCGAUAGAGAACAGUACUGUGAAGGAAAGGUGAAAAGAACCCCGGGAGGGGAGUGAAAAGAACCUGAAACCUUAUGCUUACAAGCACCGAGAGCCCAUCAAAGGGUGAUCGGGUACCUUUUGUAGAAUGGUCCGGCGAGUGAAUGUAACUGGCAAGGUUAAGCACUUCAGGUGUGGAGCCGAAGCGAAAGCAAGUCUUAAUAGGGCGUCAAGUCAGUUGUAUUCGACCCGAAACCGUGUGACCUAGCCAUGAGCAGGCUGAAGUGGAGGUAAAACUCCAUGGAGGGCCGAACCCACUCCCGUUGAAAUGGUAGGGGAUGACUUGUGGCUAGCGGAGAAAUUCCAAUCGAACUCGGAGAUAGCUGGUUCUCUCCGAAAUAGCUUUAGGGCUAGCCUCGAUUUGACAUUACCGGAGGUAAAGCACUGAAUGGGCUAGGGGCCGAGAGGUUACUGAACCCUAUCAAACUAAGAAUGCCGGAUAAUGAUAAUCGGGAGUCAGACAGUGUGAGAUAAGUUUCAUUGUCAAAAGGGAAACAGCCCAGACCCACAGCUAAGGUCCCAAAGUACGGUUAAGUGGAAAAGGAUGUGGGGUUGCACAGACAACCAGGAUGUUGGCUUAGAAGCAGCCACUCAUUAAAAGAGUGCGUAAUAGCUCACUGGUCGAGUGAUUCUGCGCCGAAAAUUUAACGGGGCUAAAUUGUACACCGAAGCUUGGGAUACAUCUAAUGUAUGGUAGGAGAGCGUUGUAUACGGGGUGAAGUCAGAGCGGAAGCGCUGGUGGACUGUAUACAAGUGAGAAUGCCGGAAUGAGUAGCGAGAAUUAUGUGAGAAUCAUAAUGGCCGAAAGACUAAGGUUUUAGAAGGAAGGUUCGUCCGCUUCUAGUCAGCCGGGAGCUAAGGCGAGGCCGAAAGGCGUAGUCGAUGCACAUACGGUGGAGAUUCCGUAGCCGCCAUUAAUUUAAACAGAGGGACACUUUCAAGGGGCAUGACCCGGGCGUUGGUAGACCCGGGCGUAAGGGACCGAAGAUUAGUAGGGAAGCAUGCUUUAAGGAAGGCGAGAAAAGCUCUGUGUAUAGAAGAUGGCGCCCGUACCGCAAACCGACACAGGUAGUCAGGAAGAGAAUUCUAAGGCCAACGGGAGAAGGGUAGUUAAGGAACUCGGCAAAUUGACCCCGUAACUUCGGAAUAAGGGGUGCUCACGAGAGUGAGCCGCAGUGAAUAGGUCCAGGCGACUGUUUAUCAAAAACACAGCUCUCUGCUAAAUCGAAAGAUGACGUAUAGGGGGUGACACCUGCCCGGUGCUGGAAGGUUAAGAGGAAGGGUGCAAGCUCUGAAUUGAAGCCCCAGUAAACGGCGGCCGUAACUAUAACGGUCCUAAGGUAGCGAAAUUCCUUGUCGGGUAAGUUCCGACCCGCACGAAUGGUGUAACGAUCUGGGCACUGUCUCAACUACCCACCCGGCGAAAUUGUAGUACCGGUGAAGAUGCCGGUUACCCGCGGCAAGACGGAAAGACCCCAUGGAGCUUUACUGUAACCUGAUAUUGGGUUUCGGUAUUUUAUGUACAGGAUAGGUGGGAGACUAUGAAACUAAGGCGCCAGCCUUAGCGGAGUCGCCCUUGGGAUACCACUCUUAAAGUACUGAAAUUCUAACCUGCGGCCGUGAAUCCGGUCGGGGGACAUUGUCAGGCGGGCAGUUUGACUGGGGCGGUCGCCUCCAAAAGAGUAACGGAGGCGCUCAAAGGUUCG
rnacentral:rRNA from 1 species